CUCACAACAUGUGAAAGGAAUCUUUAAUUGAGAUUAAGCUUAAUCUAUCUUGAAAUGGAGAAAUUGUCCUCCAUUAUUUAGUUUAAUUCACAUAGUCACAAGUGUUCUUCCCAUAGGAAGGUGAGAGGACAGAGUAGGAAAAAAAAUGAAAUGACUGGAGAAUCAGAGAUCAAAGUGAUGAUGCUGUAAGACAAGAGAGAAAUAAGUUGCAAAGUCAAAGUUACCAACUCUUAUUGACAUAGCAACUAUGCCUUUGCCAGAAUGUGACAAGAGAAACCUUGGAAAUGAGAAAGAUUGACACAUGUGUUUAUCUCCUGUUGCCCUUCCAGCAACAAACAAUUUCAUUAAAACAGCAAAACAAAGAGCAUUUUGAUGUGGACUUGGCAAUGAAUAGGGUUCCUGUGCUAAUUUCCUCUUGCUCUGUGUAA
rnacentral:lncRNA from 1 species